AUCAAAAUUACUAUUUAAAGUCAAUUAAUUUUGGUUCAUUUUUUGGGUAGAUUACGUCGGCCAUCUUGGUUAUUCUUAUUUACAUUCAUCUCUCUCAUAUGUAUAUGCAUAUAUAUUCAUCUCUUUAUUUACUUUUUAGUUUAUGUCAUGUGGGUUUGACGUUAUUUGGGUGGGGGGGGGCAAGAGGAGCAUACGUUAAAAUACAAAUAUGCCCAGCCAAUCAGAGAAAUUGAGAGUGGAGCAGCACUGCUGAUCCUUUCGUGAAAGUUCGUACGUCAAAUUUAGUUGCCGAUUAGCUACGGAAAUUGAAAAUCAACGGAUUGGUUUUGUUUAACUUAACCUAUAUUGGAGAUUUUAUUUGCUUUGCUUGCUUCCUAAUAAUUGAUUUAAUUAUCAACAAUUAUAUCAACUUUGCGACUAUUUGAGUGAAAAUUCAUAGUGUAUAGUGUUGAGUGUCUACUCCAUUAUCUAUACAAUCCAUAUCUGUGCUGGUUUUGGGCUCAAAAACAAACAAUUUAGUGUUUGAUUUUCAUUACCUUUCAAUAAACUUGCCAGUGUGUUUCUUAGUGCAUAAUUUCCUUCCACUUAAACCAGUAUUUGCACUUAUCUGUUGCUGUCUGUUAGACAAUUAUGGCAUCACUAAGUCAACAAAAUGCAAUCUGUGAAGUUUGUGAUAAGGAAUUUUCAAGCACAUCUACCAGAAACAGGCAUUGGAAAAAGUUUCACCCUGAAUUUGUUGGGAAGGAAGAAAUAAAACACAUUAUAUGUCCAAUGUGUACUAAUGAUAUCCAGACAUUUUCAUAUUUUAACUGUUUAAACAAACAUUUGCUUGAUAUUCACCAUAAAACUGUCAAAGAAUCAAUUUUAAAUUUUAGGAAUUUUGAAGAAUUCACGUCUUGGAGGGCACAAGAUAAUAGGGAAGUAGAUUAUGCUUGUCAGACCCGAAACAAGUUUAAGAAUGGGGAAGAACAAAUAUUUUACAAUUGCAACAGGAGCGAUAUCAGAGGUUGUACAAAGUCUUAGUUAUCAUUAUCAAACAAACAUACAUAAGUAUGUUUUGUUGAGUUUACUUUUAGGAUUUAAUAGUGCAUGCAAAGUGAGAAGUCUGGGGGAAGCAUUCGCAUUUUGCAAUAUGGAAAAUUUAAAGUAGUAAGUGUUUCGAUAAGUGGUAAGUUCUAUGUUGUGUCUUGUCAUGAACUAUGUGAUGAGCAAUGUCGCACUGGAUACUGUAACAUCUGUAAAAUAUGUUUUCAUAAAUACAGAUGUGAGUGUCCAGAAAAUUCUGUCAAAACAGUACUUUGUAAACAUAUACAUGCUGUAGCCAUUUUUGAGCAGAAGAGUUUGUUGUAGGUUCCCCAACUGUGAGUGAAGAGGAAGAGGAUAAUGUUUUGUUUGUUGAUCAACCACAACUAGCCAAAUCAAUUAUUAGGAGGAUGUAAACUAUUUUAUUCAGGAGAGUUCGAAAAUGAAAGUCAAUAGUUCUGCAAUGGAAUUGAAGUAUUAAUUGACUAAUUGACUGACUAAUUGACUGAAGAAAAUCGAGAAGUAGUUUGAGUAACCUAUAAGUUACAUUUUUAUUACAUCGGUUAUACUUAUUUUAAGAUUGCAUUGCAAGAAAUUUGUAGCUAUGGUAGAAGUUUAGAUAAAAAUGCAUUUGCCAGAUUUAUGGCUGUAAUCAACAAAUUUAAAAAAAAAGAAAUGGAGGAAGAAAAUUCUCAGGGCAUUGAAAAGAAAAGAAAAAUUAAAAAACAAAUGUACUAUCCAAAUAAAAAAUAAGCUAGAUUUCUUUGUGUAUUUAAUGGCUAGAUAAUAUUUGAAUUGUAGCGAUUUUUUUAUGUUUGUAAAGCUGUGAAGUUAACAAAAAUAGAAUGUGGUAUUUUAUAUGGUAUUUUGUGUUAUAAUCAGUAUAAUAUAACUAAGUAUAUUUUUUGUAAGGUUUUGGUGCAGGUUUCAAAUUGUAAAUACAAAUUUUAUGUAAGAGGUCAUAUACAUAACUAGGUAUAGUUUUUGUAAGGCUUAAUUUGGUGUAGGUUUCAAAUUGUAAAAACAAAUUUUAAGACGUCAUAGGUGUUGGUUUCUGUAUAACUAUUUUUAUAUCUUUUAAGACUAAAAAUGUUAAUAUUCAACUAAUCAUUUUCUAUUACAUUUUCUUUGCUAUGUUUUUAAUAUUUUUUAGGGUGCAGAAAAGCUAAUUGGAUUAACUUAAAAUUAACAUGGAACGAGGGGGAAGAUCCCCUGUGAGUAUAUAUUUAUUAAUUAAAAUGUAUACAGAGCAGUAAUUUUUUUCAUGUCACUAUUGAAUGGAAGUUUGAAUGGUUUAGGCUGUAUAUACAUGACCAGCAGAGAUGAUAAAUAAGCUAAAGAAGUGCGAGUCUACAUACUAUAUAUCAGAUUAAUACAUUUAGCCUCUUUGCAUUUAAUUUUGAGGUUGUUGAUAUUAAAAGUACCAUAAAUUAUUAUAUUUAAAUAACGAAUAAAUUUAUAGAUUUUUUAUUAUUUGAAAUAAACAAAGUUAAAAUAUAAUUUCUA
rnacentral:lncRNA from 1 species